CAGCAAGACUCCGUGGGCGUAGGACCCUCCAAGCCAGGUGCGAUAUAAUGUCGUGGUGCGCCGUUUUUUAAGCUGGUUGGAAAAGCGCAGUAUUCGCGUGGGAGUGACCCGAUUUUCCAGUGAGAUGAACCCGGUACCUCAGAUUGAAAUGCAGAAAUCACCCGUCUUCUGCGUCGCUCACGCUGGGAGCUGUAGACCGGAGCUGUUCCUAUUCGGCCAUCUUGGCUCCUCCCUCAGGAGUGAAAUACAUCACCGCUUUCCCUGCUCCCGCCGCCAUUAAAAUUGUGUUUGGCAUCUGACCACCAAGAUACAGAUAUUUCCUAGACUGUUUUGCAGCUAGGUACUUAGAUAGUAAUGAAGAUAGGGGCCACCAUUCCCUGUGAAAAUCAAGUGGGAAAGUCCUGAGUCCUUUAAUGACUUUACAGAGGACAGAAUAAACUCCUAUCAUAUUCAUGCAAUUGUGCCUAUGGG
rnacentral:lncRNA from 10 species